rnacentral:tRNA from 1 species
GGAGCAAUAUCUUAGUGGUAGAGCACAUGCUUAAGAUGCAUGAGGUCCUGGGUUCAAUCCCCAGUACCUCUA